UCGCACCAAAACAACGACAAACACAACAACAACAAAAAACACACAAACCGAAACAAAUAGCGUGAUAGGGCAGAAUUCGGCUCCGGCAGUUCUGUCCGGCCCCUGGCGGCUCAACUAUGUACAAACACGCGGCGUUCGCAAAUCUGAAGUAACAGGAAUUAAAAAUAAAAACGCAUAAGAAAACAACAACAACAACAACAACUUGCUUCCAUCAGCUGGCUCUGUUCGCGGUACACAGCGCGCACGGUGAUAAUGCGGAGCCGGCACACAGCACCAGGUCGACGAUACCCUCUGAACUCCCUCCUGAACGGAGCAGGCAAAGCAGUAGCGCUUGCCGUACGAGUGUGCGUGGCCAAAGGUGACUUACAUUUGUAUCCAGGGCUACUGUCCCAUCCGUCUACUGCCUAGCUUCGCUAACAACGCUUCGUUCACCUUCCGAAUAGCAUCGUACAUUGCACAUGAAUACCUGUUAGUUUCUAAUUAUGUAUUGCACCGCGCCAUUCUCUUAUAUUGCACAUAUGGGAAGAGAGAGAGAGCAAGAGAGACAGAGUGUUGCAGCAGAGACGCAAAAAAGUAAACCUUAACGCUAGAGAGCUCACUUUGUCUUUGGACAGUGAUGCUGCUGCCCAGAAUGGAAUGCAUUACCGUCGCCAUGAGAGACACAAC